CUCCGUAUAGCUCAGUCUGGUAGAGCAUAUUGUUUGGAACGAUAGGGUCCGGUGUUCAAAUCAUCGUACGGAGACCA
rnacentral:tRNA from 1 species